CAGUAGCCGCGGGAACACGGAGGGUGCAAGCGUUAAUCGGAAUUACUGGGCGUAAAGCGCACGCAGGCGGUCUGUCAAGUCAGAUGUGAAAUCCCCGGGCUUAACCUGGGAACUGCAUUUGAAACUGGCAGGCUAGAGUCUUGUAGAGGGGGGUAGAAUUCCAGGUGUAGCGGUGAAAUGCGUAGAGAUCUGGAGGAAUACCGGUGGCGAAGGCGGCCCCCUGGACAAAGACUGACGCUCAGGUGCGAAAGCGUGGGGAGCAAACAGGAUUAGAUACCCGCGUAGUCCCUGUCUCUUAUAC
rnacentral:rRNA from 1 species